rnacentral:rRNA from 1 species
UGCCCAGGCGCGAAAACUUUGCAAUACACGAAAGUGUGACAGGGUCAUCCCGAGUGCCGACCGCUGAGGUUGGCUUUUACCCAGUCUAGAAAGCUGGGGGAAUAAGGAGAGGGCAAGUCUGGUGUCAGCCGCCGCGGUAAUACCAGCUCUCCGAGUGGUGUGGACGUUUAUUGGGCCUAAAGCAUCCGUAGCUGGCUGAACAAGUCCCCUGUUAAACCCACCGAUUUAAUCGUUGGUCUGCGGGGGAUACUGCUCGGCUAGGGGACGAGAGAGGCAGGCGGUAUUCUCGGGGUAGGGGUGAAAUCCUAUAAUCCCGGGAAGACCACCAGUGGCGAAGGCUGCCUGCUAGAGCGCGCCCGACGGUGAGGGAUGAAAGCUGGGGGAGCGAACCGGAUUAGAUACCCGGGUAGUCCCAGCUGUAAACGAUGCAGACUAGGUGUUUGGACGGCCACGUGCCGUUCUAGUGCCGCAGGGAAGCUGUUAAGUCUGCCGCCUGGGGAGUACGAUCGCAAGAUUGAAACUUAAAGGAAUUGGCGGGGGAGCAC